AAGCAACUAUUGGACUUCUGCUGGCUUGAGAAAGUGGAAACUAAACAAGAAAUGUAUCAGUGGAAGAGUGGUAGCUAAAUGGCCGAUCACAAAGGAAGGUGAUCACCGCAGAUGCAAUUUCAGGGGAUAUGAUUUUUCAACCUAUCUUGGAGGAUGGAGUUUUCCGAUUUGAGUUCUGCAGAUGACAGAGAUGCAGCAUAUCCCAGUCUUUCUUUUGUAAUAAACAAGGAUAGGGACAUGCCAAUCAUGACUCACAAGGCCCCUUUAUAUACCCCAAAGUAUCAAUCUCAUAUGGGACAGCAGAUGUCAAACUUGAGGCCAGUUAUAUAUAUUUUUUUUAGCUCAUUUUACUUUCUAAAAUGCUUUGUGAUAUGUAUAAGUUAUGGUAGUUGUAUGUGUUUAACUCUACCUUGUAAUGGGAUGAAUUUGGUUCUGGUUUAGCUUCCUGUUGUACCUCAUUUUAUGGAACUGGGGAGUCAGUGGGCAGCUAGAACGGACAGGAAAGAGAAUUUUUAAUGGAAUACAGAUGCAUGGGGUUACGGUCCUGGAACUACAUCCUUGUACCAGUCACUCCCUGGGUGCUUGUGUUCUUCCAAAUGGAGAGGCAUUGGGAAUUCUUGCUGACAAACCGGCGAGUGAG